rnacentral:rRNA from 1 species
UACAGAGGUCUCAAGCGUUGUUCGGAUUCAUUGGGCGUAAAGGGUGCGUAGGUGGCGGGGUUAGUCAGGUGUGAAAUCUCGGGGCUCAACCCCGAAACUGCACUUGAUACUGCCUUGCUCGAGUAUUGGAGAGGAGAUUGGAAUUUACGGUGUAGCAGUGAAAUGCGUAGAUAUCGUAAGGAAGACCAGUGGCGAAGGCGAAUCUCUGGACAAUUACUGACACUGAGGCACGAAGGCCAGGGGAGCAAACGGG